rnacentral:lncRNA from 1 species
AUAGGGUAACCAAAUUGAAUGCAAUUUUGAUGCAACUAAAAAUUAUUUAUAUGAAUAUAGAAAGAGUACAUGUUAAAAAUCAUAAAUUAAAAGCAAUGAUACUGUUAAGACUGUUUGUUACAUGAUUUUGAUAUAUUUUUAUUUAUUUAUGUGGAAGAUAACAAUUAUAUGUGACUGAAAGUUACAUGAUUUUGAUAUAUUUUUAUUUAUUUAUUUAUGGCUAGGCUUACAAAAUAAAUUAAUUCAUUUUUUUUUGAGUUUUAGAUAAGCAAAUCAACCAUGUAAAGAAAAAAAUUCAAAAUAAUUCAGUAGAAAAAGAUUAAAAUUCAAAAUAAAAUUUCUGAAGUUUAAAUUAAUCAAACAUAAAAUGAUGAUAUUAUGAACACUUAUGAAAAAAAAAGUAAAAUAAAAACAUAAAAAAAUUAAAAAUGUAGAAAGAAAAGUUUAGGAAUUGAAAAUAAGGUUAAUUUAAAAAAAAUAAAAAUACAAUGAUGACUAAAUUGGUUGGCAUCCAUAACAAAAUGAUAUGGUUUGGUUAGUUGAGAAUAUCAUUCUUGUCAUAUGUUUAAUCAUAUAUUUUUUGAUGGGUUCAUAUGUCUAUUUUUAUAUGAGUUUACUAAAGAAGUAAUUAAAAAAGAAAAAAGAAGAGAAAUAACAUUGAAUUAAAUGACUUUGAAUUGGUAGAUAAUAUCAAUGAUAAGAUUUCUCAUCUAUCAAAAAAAUUGAUGAUAAGAUUUCUCAAAUUUUUU